AUGCGCGCUGGCGGCGUGCCUAAUACAUGCAAGUCGCGCGAACGGACGAGAAGCUUGCUUCUCUGAUGUUAGCGGCGGACGGGUGAGUAACACGUGGAUAACCUACCUAUAAGACUGGGAUAACUUCGGGAAACCGGAGCUAAUACCGGAUAAUAUUUUGAACCGCAUGGUUCAAAAGUGAAAGACGGUCUUGCUGUCACUUAUAGAUGGAUCCGCGCUGCAUUAGCUAGUUGGUAAGGUAACGGCUUACCAAGGCAACGAUGCAUAGCCGACCUGAGAGGGUGAUCGGCCACACUGGAACUGAGACACGGUCCAGACUCCUACGGGAGGCAGCAGUAGGGAAUCUUCCGCAAUGGGCGAAAGCCUGACGGAGCAACGCCGCGUGAGUGAUGAAGGUCUUCGGAUCGUAAAACUCUGUUAUUAGGGAAGAACAUAUGUGUAAGUAACUGUGCACAUCUUGACGGUACCUAAUCAGAAAGCCACGGCUAACUACGUG
rnacentral:rRNA from 1 species